rnacentral:rRNA from 1 species
ACUCAAAGGAAUUGACGGGGACCCGCACAAGCGGUGGAGCAUGUGGUUUAAUUCGAUGCAACGCGAAAAACCUUACCACUUCUUGACAUGGAAAUCAUACCUAUUCGAAGGGAUAGGGUCGGUUCGGCCGGAUUUCACACAGGUGUUGCAUGGCUGUCGUCAGCUCGUGUCGUGAGAUGUUGGGUUAAGUCCCGCAACGAGCGUAACCCUCAUCCUUAGUUACCAUCAGGUAAUGCCGGGGACUUUAAGGAAACUGCUAGUGAUAAACUGGAGGAAGGUGGGGAUGAUGUCAAGUCAUCAUGGCCCUUAUGGAGUGGGCUACACACGUGCUACAAUGGUGGCUACAAUGGGCUGCAAAGUCGCGAGGCUAAGCUAAUCUCUUAAAAGCCAUCUCAGUUCGGAUUGUACUCUGCAACUCGAGUGCAUGAAGUUGGAAUCGCUAGUAAUCGUGGAUCAGCAUGCCACGGUGAAUACGUUCUCGGGUCUUGUACACACCGCCCGU